rnacentral:rRNA from 1 species
CCCUUAGAUGUUCUGGGCCGCACGCGCGCUACACUGAUGCAUUCAACGAGCAAUUGCUUGGCCGAGAGGUCAGGCUAAUCUUUGAACGUGCAUCGUGCUGGGGAUAGAUGAUUGCAAUUAUUCAUCUUCAACGAGGAAUUCCUAGUAAACGCAAGUCAUCAGUUUGCAUUGAUUACGUCCCUGCCCUUUGUACACACCGCCCGUCGCUCCUACCGAUUGAAUGGUCCGGUGAAAAUUUCAGAUAGUGGCGAUGCUGGCGGUUCGCCGCCGGCGCUGCCGCUAGAAGAUCUUUAAACCUUAUCAUUUAGAGGAAGGAGAAGUCGUAACA